AAUGAACGCUGGCGGCAUGCCUAACACAUGCAAGUCGAACGAAGGCUUCGGCCUUAGUGGCGCACGGGUGCGUAACGCGUGGGAAUCUGCCCUUGGGUUCGGAAUAACAGUUAGAAAUGACUGCUAAUACCGGAUGAUGUCGUAAGACCAAAGAUUUAUCGCCCAAGGAUGAGCCCGCGUAGGAUUAGCUAGUUGGCGGGGUAAAGGCCCACCAAGGCGACGAUCCUUAGCUGGCCUGAGAGGAUGAUCAGCCACACUGGGACUGAGACACGGCCCAGACUCCUACGGGGGGGAGCGGUGGGGAAUAUUGGAAAAUGGGCGAAAGCCUGAUCCAGAAAUGCCGCGUGAGUGAUGAAGGCCUUAGGGUUGUAAAGCUCUUUUCCCCGGGAUGAUAAUGACAGUACCGGGAGAAUAAGCCCCGGCUAACUUCGUGCCAGCCGCCGCCGUAA
rnacentral:rRNA from 1 species